GCUGAUCAGCUGCACUUGUACAAGGCUCUGGUACAAGGUAGCUGGUUCACGGGACAGCGGGGCGGGGUAUUCAAAUACCCAACACCUGAUGACUGUCCGAGAGGGUAGUCGGUGUGUUGUUGGGUUUCUUUAUGCAUAAACCAGUUUGUGCUUUUGGGAAUUGAUAGUACGCGUGGAUUUAGAGGAACUAGAGUUCACCGCGUUAUUAUGUUAUUGUGUCUAAACUUGGAUCCACGAACAGCCGGCCCGAUUACAUCCGGAGGGGCCCCGGGAGUACCCGUCAAACAUCGCAAUUGAUCCACCGGUGGGUCGGACACUGUUCAUGUUUAUAGGUAUUAGAGCACAUUACUGCCUGAACGAAGAAGAAAGAACCGCAGGAGCUGGCCCAGGUACUGGGGGGGACUGAACGCUUUGGUUGAAGAUGAAUAUACUAGGCCUAUUAUGGUUGGUGGGAUAUGCUGCCAUUUUCAAAGGUUUUGCUUACCCAACUGUAUAUGGAGAGGUUGGAGGGGAGGUGUUAUUUCUAUGCCCAUGUGACAAGGAGCGGCCUGUCAACAGUUUUUACUUUCAAGGUUUCCAUGGCCCUGACAAGGUUUUUAUUAAUGGAUGGCAUGAUACGAAACGAACCAAACCCAAACCAGAUCUGUUCACCAGUGUGAACAGGACAGAGAGGACCGUAACCAUGUGGAAUCUGACAGCUGGAAAUGAAGGGUUCUAUCAGUUUUUCAUCGACUAUUCCAAUGAAACGAAGGAAUAUAGCAUUUUCCUCAACGUCUCAGAAAAACCAACCACCACCAGAUCAGGCGAACAACAGCCCAUCCACAGCUCUGAAGCUGAACAAAGUCAUCGCCAUCAUUGGUACUUCCUUGCUGCUGGUUGCCUGUUUGUAUUAUUAUUAGUUGUUAUCAUACUACAUGUUGUGGCAACCCGUCGACAGCACAGCGCCCCUGGAGCAAGCCCCUCAGGUGCCUCAGGUGGAGCACCUGAGGAGCCGUAAAAAGGGGCACCUGAGGAGCACACUCAGUCAAGGCUCUCCUCUUGUUUUUUUUUGCGGAGAGACCAGUCUCCGUGGGUGACGUGAUUCCAGCGGGAGGAACAAGACUGUGGAUUCUAGGGGUGUGCCAAAAUAUCGAUACUGCGACAUAUCGCGAUAUUUUGUCUUGCGGGACGUUAUCGAUAUGCUGACGCCAAAUAUCGAUAUUUAAAGGUCCCAUGACAUGAAAAUCUCACUUUAUGAG